rnacentral:tRNA from 3 species
UAUACUUUAGUGUUUUAGCAUAAAAAUUUUUGAAAUUUUUGGUAAUAAUAAUAUUAUUAAGUAUAA